ensembl:lincRNA
ACUUAGAGUAGAGAUUAUUGUUUCUGAGGCCACACUUUCAUUUUUAUCUUUUCCCUUUAUCUGUGUUCUUCAAGAUGAAAAAGGAUGUAGAGAUGCAUAACCUAGCCAAGAACUAUUUGGCUGAACUUAUCAAAGAAGAAUGUUGGAAUUCAAUGGCUGUAAAAGGUCGCGCUCUUAAGUGUUUUCAUAUCCCCUGUGUGGUUGAAAACUUCCCGAUGAAAGCACGCACAGCUGAAGAGCUGAAAGAAUUGGAAAGAGUUUUACAGCAAAAGAAGACUGAAGCAGAGUGUCUAAAAGUACAAUUUUAAAUAUAUAUGUAUUUAUAUAAGUGAUGUGCUUUAUUUUAGAGUCUCCUUUGUUCAGAUUUGAGUUGGGAUAUAAUUUAAGUUUAGGUAUUAUAUGUAUUUAUAUUUUUAUUUCUUGUUAAUUUAUAGAAUAUAUUCUAAUGAAUAUAGGGAGCCUAUAUCCCCAAAAUAAAUCAAAGAGCCUGUAUCCUACACAAUACUGGCUAGCCCUCAAAUAUAAGGAUAUACCUUUAAAAAAUGAGAUUUGGGAUUUUGCUCUUAUCCGCACAGAGGUUGUCUUCAUGCAUACAUAUCCUUUUUUAUCUUCCCUUGUCACUAGGGAUUGUGUUUUAAGAUAACUGAUCAAGAAUGAAGUAGAAUUUGUUUUGACAGAAUUAUGGUUUUCCUAAAUCCCAACUUUUUAAGCUAUAAUCUCUGCCAAACCACUAAAAAAACACUGCCCUUCAGUGUAGUUUUGUUUUGGCUAGAACUUUGCACUGACUCUUUUUCUGAAACAAAAUGGAAGCAUGCUUAAUUCUUCUUAAACUUCACCCACCGGUCCUUUGUGAACAAGUUUCUUUGUAAAUAUAAAGAGAAGAUAUAUUUCUUAAGUACCAAGAAAGACUCAAAAUAGUUACAAGCAGGUGUCAUACUGACAGAAAGAUAUGAAUAUUACACAUCAUCAAGGACAUUUUUUAUUCCUUUGAUUUAUCCAUCGUUUAUCAGUUUCUGAAGCUUUAAUCUCUUCUGCAGCAGUUCUGGAAUCUGUUCAUCACUUUGAAUUCAGUUGUUGGCAAGACAAUUUAGCAAAUUAAAAUGAUUGUUGACAUAAUUAAGUUGUCACAAAAAUUCCCUUUAGAGGAUUCUUAUUAUUGCAUAACUUCUGUGUCAUCUUUUUCUACAUUUAGCUACGGAAGGAAAUUGUAGAGGCUCAGUCUGGAGUUACAUUGGUUAAAAAGUGUCAUGAAGAGGAUGAUGAAGAAGAGGAAGAGGAAGACAAGAAAGUAGAAUGUAGCAACUUGCCCAAUUACCUGCUUGGUAGUCUGAGUACUGAUUUUGGGGUAGACACCUCUUUUUUGUCAAGCCAAUUGGAACUUCAUUCCAGAGAAGAGAAAAUCAACCAAAUUAUAUUACUGAAAGUGGGUGAAUUUUCAUUUUAUUCUCAAAAUCUCUAGAAACUCUACAUCAGGUGGUUUUCAACGGUUCACAUUGAAAACUAAUGCCAAUCAAAUGAUUUAAAAAUACAUACAGGAGGCAGGCAUGGUGGUUCACACUUGUAAUCCCAAUACUUUGGGAGGCCGAGGCAGGCAGAUCAUGAAGUCAAGAGACCAAGACCAUCCAGCUAACGUGGUGAAACCCCAUCUCUACUAAAAAUACAAAACUUAGCUGGGCAUGGUGGCACAUGCCUGUAGUCCUAGGUACUCGGAGGCUGAG